rnacentral:rRNA from 1 species
UACGUAGGGUGCAAGCGUUGUCCGGAAUUAUUGGGCGUAAAGAGCUCGUAGGCGGUUUGUUGCGUCGGCUGUGAAAUCCCGAGGCUCAACCUCGGGUCUGCAGUCGAUACGAGCAAACUAGAGUGUUGCAGGGGAGACUGGAAUUCCUGGUGUAGCGGUGAAAUGCGUAGAUAUCAUUUGGAACGCCAAUGGUGAAAACAGCUCGCU